UGAGGAAUAUUGGUCAAUGGUCGCAAGACUGAACCAGCCAUGCCGCGUGCAGGNAUGAAGCAUCUAUGGUGUGUAAACUGCUUUUGUACGGGAAGAAACACCUCUUCGUGAAGAGGCUUGACGGUACCGUAAGAAUAAGGAUCGGCUAACUCCGUG
rnacentral:rRNA from 1 species